CCUACGGGUGGCAGCAGUGAGGAAUAUUGGUCAAUGGGCGCGAGCCUGAACCAGCCAAGUAGCGUGAAGGAUGACUGCCCUACGGGUUGUAAACUUCUUUUAUAAAGGAAUAAAGUGAGGCACGUGUGCCUUUUUGUAUGUACUUUAUGAAUAAGGAACGGCUAAAUCCGUUCCAGCAGCCGCGGUAAUACGGAGGAUCCGAGGGUUAUCCGGAUUUAUUGGGUUGAAAGGGAGCGGAGGUGGGUUGGUAAGUCAGGUGUGAAAGGUUGCGGCUCAACCGGAAAAGUGCAAUUGAUACUGGCAGUCUUGAGUACAGUUGAGGUAGGCGGAAUUCGUGGUGUAGCGGUGAAAUGCUUAGAUAUCACGAAGAACUCCGAUUGCGAAGGCAGCUUACUAAACUGCCACUGACAUUGAUGCUCGAAAGUGUGGGUAUCAAACAGGAUUAGAUACCCUAGUAGUC
rnacentral:rRNA from 1 species